UCUAAACCUCAGAUAAUCCACCUCCCAAAUUUCUUGUAUUAUUCCAAAAUAACUAAUUGAUGCAGUGAUCGGAUUUUUGUCUUUAGAACUAGAGAAGUGCACUGACUCAACUUUUAGUGUAACUCCACUAUUUUGAACUCUACUUUUGUCAUCUUCUUCCUUUGUUUGAAAAGAGAUAUUGUUAAUAUAGUACCCACCAUAUGUAAUGACAUCUGUGUUC
rnacentral:lncRNA from 1 species